rnacentral:rRNA from 1 species
CGAAGGGGGCUAGCGUUGCUCGGAAUCACUGGGCGUAAAGCGCACGUAGGCGGCUUUCUAAGUCAGGGGUGAAAUCCUGGAGCUCAACUCCAGAACUGCCUUUGAUACUGGAGAGCUUGAGUCCGGAAGAGGUGAGUGGAACUCCGAGUGUAGAGGUGAAAUUCAUAGAUAUUCGGAAGAACACCAGUGGCGAAGGCGGCUCACUGGUCCGGUACUGACGCUGAGGUGCGAAAGCGUGGGGAGCAAACAGGAUU